rfam:Ciona savignyi cont_21312, whole genome shotgun sequence.
UCUUACAUGGUCUAGUGGUUAAGAUUCCUGGCUUUCACCCAGGCGGCCCGGGUUCGAUUCCCGGUGUCGGAA